AUUAAAAUUCGUUGUUGAAAAACAGUAAGCAGAUUUAUUCAGAAAAGUCUGUAACUAAUUUCAUACGAAAAUGGCAUCAAUGUUAUUCAAGUUAAACGUUGUACUUAUGGUGCUAUGCGUCUGUACGACCUUUAUCCAUUCAUCGUCACAAAAUCCUCCUUCGCCAAAACCUGAUAAUGACAGUGACGAAACUGAAGUUAAGACUCCUGAAGCAGGUAA